rnacentral:tRNA from 1 species
UUAUAAAUUAGUGUAAGAUGCACAUGAAUUUUUGAUAUUCAAUGAUAAGUUUAAUUCUUAAAUUUAUAAU